GAUGAAGAACGUAGCGAAAUGCGAUAAGUAAUGUGAAUUGCAGAAUUCAGUGAAUCAUCGAAUCUUUGAACGCACAUUGCGCCCGCCAGUAUUCUGGCGGGCAUGCCUGUUCGAGCGUCAUUUCAACCCUCAAGCCCAGCUUGGUGUUGGGGAUCGGCACAGGCGCCCUCGGGCGCCCGCCGUCCCCUAAAUCUAGUGGCGGUCCCGCUGCAGCCUCCUCUGCGUAGUAGUUUUCUCCUCGCAAGGGCAGCUCGGUGGCGACCUCGCCGUAAAACCCCCAACUUCUGAAAGGUUGACCUCGAAUCAGGUAGGAAUACCCGCUGAACUUAAGCAUAUCAAUAAGCGGAGG
rnacentral:misc_RNA from 1 species